rnacentral:lncRNA from 1 species
CUGAGAAGUGCCUUAUAUGUCUGAUUUCUCAACUUCACCCUGCAGUAAACUUUUGCAAUCUGGAGGCUAGAGACCUCUUUUGUAAAUGUUGUCUGCCCGAACUGCGUUGGCACCGAGGAGGCCUUAGCAGAUAAAGUGGAGGAACAUAUGGCUCCCAUCUGAAUACAAAUUGGUGGACAUAACGUGGUAAUUCAGCUGAGAUGUCCUCUAUAUUGUAAACUGAAAGAGUAUGAUUAGAGGUGUUUAUAAACGGCGUCUGAUUUUCCCCCACACACCCCCUUCCCCACCCCCUUCCACUGUAGUUUUAUCGGCCUGAAUCAUAGCCAUCCAGCGUCCCAGUCUCACUGCAUUAUUUGUUAAAAUGGCCAGCAUGAGGAAUUAUUAAUUAAAGCUAACAAAUCACCCUGAAGAGCUGUGCCCUGGCAUGGCUGAAGGUUGAUUGGUGAAAGUGUUCUCCUUUGGAGAAAAGACUUUUUGUGCUCGUGACGCAGUCAGGGACGGAUUAUUGAAUAUGCAAGUUAGAAGAAAAAUCACAGGACAAGCAAAUUGAGUAUUUACUGGCAAAUAAUUGCUCUCUUAAGCUGUGGCUCUCUUCCUAAAUUCUUAACAUUCCCGAGGGUUAGAAAGAAACACAGAAAAAUGCAUCGGUACAGAGUACAUUUCAAAAAAAAUACAUAGACUGAUGUUUCAGACUUGUGCAGAAUGUUUCGCCAUCACUAACUGGAUAUUCAUCACAACUUUGCUGUCGGUUCAACCAGAUCAGUACCAAAAGACUAUAUGCUAGCAGAAAUCUCAAGACCAUUCCAAGCUUUGUCUUCACCUGGAGGCAGUCUCAGAGAUCCCAAGGUUCCGUGACCAUCAGUCUGUGGCCUGCCCCUUCUCUUUAUAAACUUCUUGAAUUCUGUCUGAUGCCUGAUGACCUGACAAACUGGCCCAGAAUCAGAAGCCGGUCGUGCCGUGUGAGCUGUUAGCCAAGUUAUUCAGCUUGAACUGCUCCUUCAAAAACAGUAGGAAGGCGAGUAUCAGACAUAAGACCUGUGGUACCCAACCCAGUGUCAUCAGUAUCACCUGGGAGCUUUCUAGAAAUGCAGAAUCACAGACUCAGUCCCAG